rnacentral:lncRNA from 1 species
CGCGGUGACAGAGAAGCGCGGCCUUUCUCUCGCCCCGCCUUCCCCGCCGCUCGCAGCCAAUGGGAAGGCUCUGUACUACGAGGUGCAGAGGGGACAGCGCCGUGGGCAAGUCGCAAGUCUAGAAAGCGGCGGGAAGUUCGUACUACGCUGUGGGACGGCGAGUUGGCCGCUCUGGGUAGGGAGCCCUGAGGUGGCGGCGGGACGGUGGGUACAGCGACGCAUCAGAGAGGCGCCUGCUCAUCCGGGUGUCAGGCGGCGCGGCUGCUGGGUCGGGUCAGCCCGGGAACCCUCGCCUCUCUGCCCGCUCGCGGAGCUGCCGGAAGCCCGGUUCUAGAAGGCCGCCCGAAGCCUGGACAGGGCCAGGUGGCGGACACCGGGACAGGAAUCUGGACCGGCCGAGCUUGCCUCUUCCUUAGCAGCGGUGAGGUGAGGCCUCGGGGCACACCCGCGGCCGCUAGCUUCUCGUUUCCUCCCUGGCCUUGCUCCACAGGUCUCCACCGCCGGUGACCUGUCUCCUGUUGCAGUGUCUUCAGAGGCAAGCAGGUUUGCUCCAGCGCCCAAGUUUGUUUUAGACCGUUUCCAGUUCACACAGCCUAGGUGUAAAAGUGCGCCAGAGUCUUUGAGAGCUGGGGACACAAGCUAGUCCUUAUCCGGUUACCCAUCCCCCCCCCCCCAUUGUCUUAUCGUUGACGUUAACCAUUCUUUAAGUCUCUGCCUGUAUUAUUCCUUUCUGUCCCCCAUUGCUCUUGGAGUAAUUUGGAAACACGAUUUUGCCAUUGGGAAGGUGGUGGUUAAACCUAGGGAAUCGUUGAAGAGCGUCGUUGCUUUCCCUUAAAA